AAACUAUUGAACUAAUUAAUAAAACUAAGAGUUGGUUCUAUGAAAAAGCCAAUAAAAUAGAUAAGCCUUUGGUAAAUCUGAUUAGAAAAAGGAGGGAGGAAAAUGAAAUUAGUAGUCUUAAAAAUGAAAAGGGAGAACUUUCCACCAAUGAAGAGGAAAUUAGAGAAAUAAUAAGGAGUUAUUUUGCUCAACUUUAUGCCAAUAAAUUUGAUAACCUAAGUGAAAUGGAUGACUACCUCCAAAAAUACAGACUUCCCAGAGAAUUUUAACUGGGGUCAUUAAGAUUUGAACACAAUUGAAAUAAAUCAUUAGCAACAGCAUUCAUAUAAUAAUUCAUAAUUCAUAUAACAGCAUAUAUAUAAUAAUAAUGGCUUAGUAUAGCCAACCAUGAUCCUAAGUAUUUUACAAUUGUGAUCUCAUUUGAUCUUCACAAUAACUUGGGAGCUGGGUGCUCUUAUUAUCCCCCUUUUACAGAUAAGGAAACUGAGGCAAGCAGUGGUUAAGUGACAUACCCAAUGACACACAGCUAGGAAGUAUCUGAAACUAGAGUUGAAUCAAGGACUUCCUGAGUCUAGUACUCUUUCUACAGCACUCUCAUAUAUUCCAUAAUGAAGCAAAAGCCAUUCUUUGAAAAUGUUAGUUCAUGAUAAUGUCCUUUUGGUAUCAUAGUUUGAAAUAUAUAUGAAGUUGGAAAUGAUGAGGUGAAAAGUGUCUAUCACCUGAAUUACAACUCCCCUCUAGGAUGUUUGGACAGAGCUGUGUCUUCUUUGGUGAAAUUCUCAACUCUCCAUGAUGUUCGCAAACAUUUUAAUAUGUUCCCCAAAGGAGAUCGCUCAGGUUCCUCUAAUAUUUCAGAUGCUCUCAGGACUGAUCAAAGAUGUAGGAAACCAGUCCUAUGGAACAUGGGCCAGUAACCAGAAUGAAGGACACAGCAAAUGAUGCAGAAACAAUUUCUUUAGUGUAAGUACAUUUUUCUACAACAUUAGCUUUAUAAUUCAGUGGUUCCGAUGUUAGUCAAUUACAGAAACAACAUGUGAUCCCCACCUGGUCUCUGUGGGAUAUUAAAAAAUUAAAAUUAAAAUGUUGCUAUUUCUUCAUGUUGAAGGAAGAACUUUAUAAAAGAGACAGUGAUGUAAAAUAAUAAAAUAGCAACACAAAUAUGAUUUUUAAAACUGAGCUCAAAAAAGUUGAGAAAAGGAAUGUAUAGUGUUAUUUCCCUUUUCCCCUUAUUUUUUUUUUUUCAUCUUUUACAGUGACAUAUGACUCUUGUUUGCUCAGGCUUUUCUCCUUAGACUUUAUAUUGUUAGGGGUUUCCACUUCUUUCUGUCAUAUGCAGUUGUGAAGUGAGGAUGAGGGAGGGGGAUGGGUUGAGAGAUAUGAGGCACACUAUCAUUGGAAGGACACCAGAUAAUACAAAUUCCAAUAUCCGCUGUAAACUGGCAUCCUUUAACUUCCUUUGCCCUCAGUUUCCUAUCAUGUAAAAUUAAGGACUUAAAUUAACUAAAUUACCCUCAAAUUCCUUUUGUUUCUAGAUAAAAGAAAUAGAGCAUCUCAGAAUUGAAAGUAGCCUUCAAGUCUUUAGUUUCAAUAUGUCUAAAUAAGAAUCACUUCUAUGAAUACCUGAAAAGUGACCAUCUCAGUUCCCUUUAUGCAAGGCCUUCUUCGAGGGUCUACAGGCAUUCUUAGCCUUUGCAACAGUUCCAGUUGUUAGGCACUUUUCUUUAAUAAUGAAAACCUUAAUUUGCAACUUUUGCCCCUUGUUCCUAGUUCUUCUAGGCUCAAACAUAGCAAAUCUAAUCCUUCUUCCACCUGAAGGCCCUUCAAAUACUUGACUAUUCUGUGAUUCUGGUUCUAUGAGCAAGUCAGAUCACCUCCCUGACCCUGAAUUUCCUUGUCUACAAAUUAAGGCUAUUAAUAAUACUGGCAUCACAUACUUCACAGAACUGAUAGAAGAAGAAUACUGUCCAAUCUGUAAAAUGCUAGAAAUUUGAAUUAUUAUUAAUGGUAUUGUUAUUAUUAGUCAUUAAUUACGAAUAUCUAGUUUCUACUGGAAAUCCACAAUGACAAAUAAUCAUUUGGUACAGCUCAUGAGGAGCUGUGAAUACACUGUCAGCCAAAGCUUUAUCAGGACAAAAUAUGACAUAUUUUCUUCGGUCUCUCGCUCUUGAUACUUACAGAUUUUUUCAGCCAGCAUUUGUUGUUAUUUUAUAUCCUUAAUUUUUGUAUCACAAUAUUUUAUAACAUUUUUCAAAAUCAAGUAUUCUGAUCUUUUUUUAAAAAAAAUCUAUAAAAAAGUUACAUAUGGUCAUUGAACUAAUUGCUAAAAUGACACUACAUUAAUUAGAUAAUUAAGGACCUUGAACAUGUGGCUAUUGUAUUCAUUGGGCUGAAAGCCAACAUUUUCUAUAGUUGAGAAAAUGUGUUAUCAUAAUUCAAAAUUCAAUUGCUGUACCGUUUUUCAUAUGAAUAGAUAAUACAGAAUGGGUCUUAAAUCUAGAUUGAAAAAACUAACAAGAACUGGUUUUAUUUUAAUUGAGUUUUCAAGUACUCCUUCGCCAUCUCAUUGUCUUUAGAGUUUAACCCUUAGUGAUUUUGACAACUUGCUUCUUAUUCAAGUUAUCAUCCUGCUAAUUAACAAUAAUGAUUUUUAAAAAUUUACUAUUAACCUUGAAUAUGUUCUAUUACUCUUAUUAUUAUAUGUUAAUAAAUGUUGUAUAACCUGAUUCUGAAGUACUUUUUUUUCCUGUUGAGAAUAAACGUUUUCUGUAUAUUUUAAAGCAGUGUAUUGCAUAGACAUGCAUUGUUUCUUAGGUUCCAUAGGAUUUAAAGACAGGCAAAAUCCUUUAGCCUAAUAGUUUUAUUUUUUUGUUUGAGAAACUGAGGCUUAGAGAGAACUGACUUUCUCUUACUCACUAAGCUGUAGAGUGUCAACAAAAACAAGUCUUAUUUCAAUGGCCUUUAAAUGUUUAUAAAGUUCAUUUGUCAUCACAGUAUUGUGAGAUAGGUUAGUGUAGGUAUUAUCCCCAUGUGGAGAGAGAUUGAGAGAUUGAGAUUGGGAAGCUGAACAGUUUUUUUUUUUUUUCAAAUUUGUUUUAUUUAAAGAAAUACAAUAAGAAAAAAGAAAAACAAAAAGGAAUAUUAAACAAAAUGAAACAAAACAAAAGAGAACAUUAUCAUGUGCCUCAUAGAAUAUAAGGGAGGAUUCAAAAUAUUCCAAAAUAUAUAACAACAAAUAUCAGUUCAAGAAAGUAUAUAUGUGUGUAUAUAUAUAUAUAUAUAUAUAUAUAUAUAUAUAUAUAUAUAAAUGCAUAUAUAUAUGUGUGUGUAUUUAUAUAAGUGAAAGAAAUUAUAUUCAUUAGUGUCUAUCUUUUCUUUACUUCCUUGUAAAUUGUUCUUUUGUCUGAAUGGAGCUUUCAGUGAUCUCAAACUGCUUACUACUACAAAACCCCCUUAUUAACACUGAUAUUUUCUUACUUAUGUUUUAUGUCUGCAAAUUAUAAAAUACCCCUAUUAUCUCUAGAUAAUCAAAAUUGUAGGUGAUCCAAAUAUUUCCAUCAUCUUUCUGUUAAGUAGGCUGUUGUGUAUUAUCAAUGAUUGUUGUAUGUCAAAGGAGACACCACAAACAUCAUUAAGUACAUGUAUGAGCAGAAAAAAAGCAGGCUGGCAAUACAGUAAGGAUGAAACAUGAGAUAAUAAGUCUUACUGCUGUAUUGAUAUCCCAAAUGUUAAAGGAUUUAGAUAUACAUAUAUAAAUAGUUUUGUUUGUUUGUUUUGUUUUGUUUUUGGUAGCUUCUUUGUCACUGUUUUGGAAAACUGUGAACAAGAAGCAUAUAAAAUGGAAAUAACUGGUUAAGUUCUAGUCUGUACCCAUGGAGGGAAUAUCCACUUUAAAGUGAUCAUCCUCUAGUGAAAUAUCAAAGUGCAUUUUAAGAAUAUAAGACCCAUACUUUCUCUGUCUCAUUGCAAAAAAAUGAGAACUCCUGAAUUCAAUUCUAGAUCUUUCUAGUCUAAGUUUGAAAUUAUAGGAUUUCAAGAUUUAGAGAUGGAAGAAACAGUCUUUUCCUUCUAUCUUAUUUUAUAGUUUAAGAAACUGAGGCGGCGGAUGAUAAAUAAUUUUCCAAAGUCAUACAAAUAGAAGUGGCAGAAAUGGAAUAAGCCCAAAUCUUUUGAUUAAAAAUCUAGUAUUUAUUCCAUAAUGUAAUAUUUUUUCUCUUCUGUCACAUGAUUAUAAUGCACCUAAUGUUCAUUAUGGUUUUGUAAAAAUACAUUGGGUGAAACAGUGGUAACAGGGGCAGUUAUUUCUGAAGGAACAUUGAACAAGUGACUGAACAAGGUUGCAGUGGUUUUUGCAUCAUUACAGUGGUGUUUGGUUGUCUGAAUGACGUUCAUUGGUAGGGCAGGGUUACACAGGGUCUGCCUGUUUCAGCGAAUUUGCCAUGUGCCUUAACUUAUCAAGGUUAUUUGUCAGCAGAAUUAUGUCUUGUAACUUUAGCCUCCAUUUCUUUAGAUGACAGGACUUAAUGCAAAAGUUUUCCCCAUACCCACCAGUAGUCUAAGUUGAUUUCAUAUUCUUUUAUUUUAUAAAGUUUUGCUUAUCAGGUUUGUCAUCCUCCAUUUGAAAUUAAAAUGUGUGGUCUCAAGAUGACCUUAAAGUAACUGACCCCCAAAUCUAAUCACGGCGAGCGCCCGUGGAAAUCGACAAAUAUGUCAGGUGUAACUUGGAGCAUCAAAACAUUGUUUUAAAUAUUUCAUUUGCAAGCAAGGAAAGGAUCAUUCUUCAGUGAGUCCUCUGAGUGGAAAAGAAGGCAGGGACUGGCAAGUGUACGCUUUGCUGUUGUAUAAUCAGUACUCGUUAUCAGGGGGUUCAUAUGAGUUGAAAAUUUAGAGUUAUAUAUUCUGUGUGAGUGAAUUAUUGAUCACAUUUACUGCUGGAAGAAUGAUCCUAAAUGGUCAAUGCAUGGUCAAAUAGUGUCAGGUAAAGGUAAAAAUAAAAUAAACUAAGAUCUAUAUUUUUGAUAGGAAUGGUUGUUGCCUGAUUUUAUACUUGUGAUUUGGGAUUAUUAUUGAAUACUGCUAAAAUUUAUACUUCAGGGUUCCAUGAUUUCAUGAUGCGUGAAUCCUCUCUCCACUAAUGUAGAUUACAGUGCCCUCUAUUCCUUUGAGGUAGAGCAGCAUUGUCUGAUACAAAAGAGCACUGAAUUUAGAGUCAAAAGAUUAAGGUUUGAGUAUUAUUGCUAAUAAUUCUAAAUUGCAUGAUUGGAAAAUCAGUUCAUAUCUCUAAGCCUCAGUUUCUUCAUUUGAAAAAUAAAAUGAUAGUAAUUGUGCUCUUUAUCUCAGAUUAUCAUGAAAGAUUUGUGCUUUAUAAACCUUAAACCAUUAUUAUAUAAUUGGAAAAUAAUGAAGUAAUUAAAAUGUAUUUUAACAACACAUUGUUGCAAUACAAAAUGUCAGAAAUUGUAAACAGUUUCAUGAAUUGCUGUGUAGCAAAUAAUUCAUCAUUCAUAUCCUAAUUCUGCCCUUAAGUAUACUGGUUAGUAUCUCAAGACCUCAGAGUCAGGAGGUACUUCAGACCCAAAUCUGAGCAACAAUCACCUUGACCCUAGCCCCUUCCACAUGCUGCACACAUUCUAUAAACACAUGUUUAUAGCAGAAUGUUUUUGUUAUAGUGAAGAAC
ensembl:lncRNA